CCCCCUCCAAAAGCCCCAGAAAGAUAAAAUUUCAUUCUUUCUGCCUGGACCACCUUUCCUUGUUUUGCCACUAGAUGGGAGAGUGAGACUGGGAUAACUCAGCCGCUCCCCUGCGCAUCCCGCAGGAAUUCCAAGGAGAAACGCCCGCAGGUCACCCUGCAAAUCCCCCCACCUCGGGGAGGCCAGGGGUCACCCCCAAAAUACACAGUUAUUACCAGCUUCCCCCCCUCUGCCCUCAUGCAAGGGGGAGUCUCUUAACCAAAACUAGAUAUAUUCUUGGGAUGAAAUACUUAAUUAUUUUAUUUUUUUUUUAAUAUCCCCGUGUCCUGGAGCAGAGGGAUGUGGGGGGAGCGCCUGUAAUUCACUCCUCACACCCCAAAUCCUGCUUCCCAGGAAGGCAGGAGACCCCACUAAUUGCUUUGGGAGGUUAAGGAUAAAGCAGCAUUUUCUCCUCCUUUCCUUCCACGCCUUUCUCCCCUGGGAUUCCUGCCCAACGAUGCUCCCAGUGAUACCGUGCUCCUGCCCAGAUUGAGAACAGGCUGGUGCCAUGGUUCCUGGUGCAGGAGGAGGACUUGUGCCCUGCUCUGACACCACUGGCCUCAGGAGCUGCUGAAGACGAGGGAGGGGAAGGUGCUCCCAGGUCAGUAAUGACUUAUUAAGUUCACUUUCACUGAAACACUUCCCAUCUCCCGAGAUUCUUCCCAAGGUCUUGCUGGGACUGGGUCUAUUUGGGAAUUUUAUCAUUGCAGGAACACUUUCUUAACCAAAUCAAAGAUUGCCCAGUUUGCCUACUUUUAUUAUUACAAGGUUUGGGGUUUUUAAAAAUGAACAACUCUUCUUCCUUCCUGAGAUUUCACAGGUUCUGGAACAAAUCUCUUGGUACCCAAAUUCUCUGAGUGACCGUGGCAGAAUAUGUAAUCCUGUAGCUUGGAAAUUAUCUUUUGGGGGGGAUGCUGCCUGCUCAGCCUUCCUAAUUUGCAAGCUUUUUAGGGACUGGCUCAACUGGUUUUUUUUUAAUGCCUGGCACAGUCGGGCAGUGAAAUGAAGUAACCCCAGUAACAUCCCUAAUUGCAGUGCCCUCGUUGCCUCUGUUGGGGUCUCCUAGCUUUGCCUCCACACACAUCUGCCAUUAUCCUGUCAAAGAAAAAUAUCAGCUGCUUCGGAAGAGGAAGUUCAUGGGGUUUUAACUGCAUGGAAUUACUCCUGAUUUACAUAAGGAGUGGCCACCCCACCCCGUGCGUGCCACGAGGCCACUGAGUCACCAGCACCUCCUGCACCUCGCUGGGGUGGACCCAACAUCCCCUCCGAAGAGGAGAAGAGAUGUCUUCAGCUGGUAAUUACAGCUGGAAAAACAUUGCCCGGAAGCAAUAAAACGUAGAGGAAAUUCCGGAUCUGGCAGGUCCAGGGCACGUUUGCUUCUGCAGGUGCAGGUUUGGCUGGUUGGGGGAACCCGGGGUGAGACCCACACGGGCAGCUCCCACCCGGGCCAUGGUCCAGCCUCCCAGAUGCAGGGUGUCUCCCAUAGACCUUGAUCCUGCGAGAGGAACGAUAAGGAUGGAUUUUCAAAAUCAGCUGUAACGCGUGGGAUCCAGGCCUUAUCUGAGACAGCAACACAAUUACCCACGUGAUUUUGCUCUCCGUGCUUACGGGGGCAAUAUUUUUUCCAAAGUUCAAAGUCUUUCCCUGCAGGAAGCAUGUGAUGCACUCCGCAGUCACCAUGUAGCUUUGGUGCGAUGAGCAAUUAAAGAAAUCAAUUUCUGGAGCAAUAUUUUCUAUGUUUGUAAUCUCUGAACUAAUUACAGGACUGGAAAAUCAAUCGCUAUCUGGAAAUCUUUCCAGCAGGGCUCACUAAGCAAGCUACAUAUCAUGCUGGAAUAUAUUCUUCACCUAUACACAUGAUGUUUGCGACCAUCCCCAGAUCAUCUGGGCAGGUGAUAUCGCUGUCAGUGUGUUCUCCCUUACACUGCAAUGGCAGUAUAGACCAAAAUUCAGGGGGGGGGACUGGGGAGAGCAAACAGUGCAGCACACAAGAUCUGGAGAGCUGUUCUGUGCCAGCACUUUAAGCCAACAACAGAGUUGAAAGACACGGUUAGUUCAACAAUAAUCUCCAAAAAGAUUACGAAAUAAACUCAUUAAAAGUUCAUGCCUCGGUUAUAAUGCUGUUUUUUCACCAGGCUUUAUUAAAAGAUAUAAGUAAAUCCUUUGGUGACUGAAAAUAACCUCUUUCUCCGGUCUCCUGGCAGGAGAGAAGUGGUAUUAAUGGGUAGUUAAAUGGCUAUUACACUUCAAAAACAUGCGUAAAGAGGAAGGGUGUUGCUCUGAUGGAUAGGUUCUCCUCUGGCUGCACAAACACACCGUGUUGACUGUGGCUGGAACCGGAGCCCAAACCUUUGUGCCAAGGCUUCCUGGGCACUGCAGGUGUUGCCAGGAUAUUCCCAUGGGACACGGUGCCAAACGCCCAGCGAGGGGAUAAGGAGCAAAGACCACGGUGCAGGUAAUGAUCCCCUUUGCAUCGCUGUGUGGGAUGGCAGAGCGAUGGGUUCUGAGCUGAUUUGCUCUGUUUUAAGGUGUUUUUUCUUUGAUUAUUUAUUCUUCAUAGCUUUUUCCCCUCCCCAGUGAGAUGCGCAGAGGAAAAGUGGGACCAGGGCACAUCUCUGCCCUCCCUCACUCUCCAGGCCAGGGGGGUCCCACAGCUCUAAGAGGUGGAGAUCAUCAUCCUGGAGCAGAGCUUCAGGUCAAGCAACCCAUGAAGGAAAGAAAAGCCGCAGUGUCUGUGCAUCGCCUGACGGAAAAGACCUGAGACAAAGGAGCUCAGACCCUUCAGAAGUAUUUCAAAGCGAAGCUACAGCUCUCCCUUACCCCUUUAAAAAUUAACACGACACACUUUGUGCAUGUUCAGCAGGGAAGUUCCCAAUAUCUUCUCCCCUUAUCCAGGAGGAACAGCCUGGCAGUGCUGGUCCUGGCUGGUUUAUAGAGGGCCAGAGCAGGACAAGCAGCCAGGGAUGCUCCCCUGGCCAUGGGGACAGCCCCAGCGAGAGGUUUGCACAGAGAUUAUUGGGUUUAGCAGCCACCAGAGCCUGUGUCACUCAAUAAUUUGUCUAAUCCUUCCUCGAGCACAGUUACUUUUGGCUCUGCAGUGCCCUCCAGACACGGUUGCCACUGUUUAAUCAGGAGUUUGCUUUAAACCUCCUGCCUCACCCUGGCAUUUCCAGCAUCCCUGGCUCUCCCGGCGAGAAAUGCAGCUCUCGGGGCUGAGCAGGAGGGAUUCUGAUGCUCCGGUUUGGGGAAGCAACGGGGUCUUACAGAGGUAAAAUAGCCCAAAGUCUGGGAAAAAUCCCAGAGGGAGAAUUUCAGAAGAGCAUUUCCCACUGCAAACCAGCGCUAGCCACCGCUCCAGAGCAAACCCACCCUUAUUUGUUAUUUAUUGUUUGCUGCAAUUGAAUUUCUGGCUCAAAUUGGAGUUAUAAUAAAACUCAAAAAAAAUCUUCUUUUAUUAAAAAAAAAAUAAUCAAUUUCUGUUCUUGCUUCCUGCAGUUUGCUGCUUGUUCUGCAACAGGAGAUGUGAAUCAUGGAAGUAUUUAUAACAGCGAUAUUAGGAAAUGAUCAUUCAGGCACCAGAAAUCUGCAAUAGGCAUUAUGCCUUUAAAUAAAUCCUUUAUGACUAUGUUAA